AACGAACGCUGGCGGCAUGCCUAACACAUGCAAGUCGAACGAACCCUUCGGGGUUAGUGGCGCACGGGUGCGUAACGCGUGGGAAUAUGCCCUUUGCUUCGGAAUAACAGUUAGAAAUGACUGCUAAUACCGGAUGAUGUCUUCGGACCAAAGAUUUAUCGGCAAGGGAUGAGCCCGCGUAGGAUUAGGUAGUUGGUGGGGUAAAGGCCUACCAAGCCGACGAUCCUUAGCUGGUCUGAGAGGAUGAUCAGCCACACUGGGACUAAGACACGGCCCAGACUCCUACGGGAGGCAGCAGUGGGGAAUAUUGGACAAUGGGCGCAAGCCUGAUCCAGCAAUGCCGCGUGAGUGAUGAAGGCCUUCGGGUCGUAAAGCUCUUUUACCAGGGAUGAUAAUGACAGUACCUGGAGAAUAAGCUCCGGCUAACUCCGUGCCAGCCGCCGCAGUAAGAC
rnacentral:rRNA from 1 species